rnacentral:piRNA from 1 species
UGGAGAGAGCCACCAGGAAAUACUGGCGAGA